UUUUCGUGUCUUUAUUUUUCAGUUCAGACUGAGUUCUUAUUCUAUGUUGGUUUUAGAAUGUUUCGCGUACUACUUCCUUUUACUACUUCUUUUCUCAGUUUCAAGUAUAGUUUAUACCAGAAGUGACUGAUCAGACUGAAUUAUUAUUUGAUAUAGUUAAAUAUGCCAGCAGUGACUGGUCUGACUGAGUUUUCAUUAUUGGAGAUUGGCUUGGAAAUGAUGUUUCAUGUUCGACUCACUUCACAUUUGUUUCUUCUUUAUAUUCUUCAAAGGCUUCAUUUAAAUUGGUUGUGUUCAUUUCAGUGCUCGAGUGGUCAAGUUUUGGUUGUUUGAUGUGUAAUUUUGUUUGAGAACUCUCUUUGUUGUACAUUUGUCCGCCAAAGAUUUGUCGAGCUAAGAUAUGUGGGCGUAGUUUGAGCCACUGGGCGUCUGAAGAGGGAGCAAGUUCCACUUUGCCAGCAUCUGGUUGUGGCUGUCCAUAUUGUGUUGUGCUUUUCAGCACAACACAACAUGUCUCCACCAAUAGUGCAGGAUGCUGAUCGAUCUCUGAUGGCUCUUUCUGGGUUUUCGGCACUUACGCUCCAGAAGGUUUGUCAGCAGAUAGCUGCUGCCUUCCCAGCUGGUAACCAGGACCAAUCUGGUACCCCAUUGUUGGCUGUGCCCUGGUACCCAGCCCCCUUGCUGACCCACCCUUGAACUCUGCAGCUGGUGUUGUAGAUUCAAUGUAUGAUGUGUACUGAAGUGACUGAUUAUGUUAUCAGUUGACCUUUUUGAAAAUGUUUCGUAUACAUUUGACUUUACAGUAUUUGUUAAAUUCUUUUUUCAGUUUUGUGGUUCAGUUGAUACUGAUCAUACUGACAUUGACUGAUCAUACUAAGUUUUUAUCAUGCGAGUUUUUUAGUAUAAUUUAUACCUCAAAGAUACUCCAUGAAAAUUAAUUAAAAUGGCUGAUUGGGCUUGGUCAAGAGGUGUGGCGUCCAAAAAUGCACCUGAUUUGAGAAAAGGGAUAAUAUACCAGAAGUGACUGAUCAGACAGAGCUCUUAUCGUUUGAGUCUAGAUUUUAAGUGCUAUUUCACAUUCAACUCACUUCUUUACUUGUUCUUUCUUUCUCAGUUUUAUGAAAUGCUUUAGAAUACCAGAAGUUACUGAAUUCAGACUAAGUUCUUAUCAUGGGAGAUUGGUUUGGAAAUGUUUCAUUUUCCUUUCACUUCACAUUUAAAAUUUUUUUCUAGUUUCAAAUGGUGUAUACCUAAUCUGAUUAAUUAAUAGAGCAUUUGAAAGCUGUUUUAGAAUAACGUUUAGUGUACUUUCAACUUCUUACAAUUUGUUACUUUUUUAAGUUUCAUGGUACAGUUUAUAGCAGGAGUGACUGAUGAAAUUGAGUUCUUUUCAUUUGAGAUUAUUUUUUGAAAUAGUGUUUAAUGUUAGACUCACUUUUAAUUUCUGUCUUCUUUUCUCGGUUUCAUUGU